UACAGAGGGUGCUAGCGUUAAUCGGAAUUACUGGGCGUAAAGCGUGUGUAGGUGGUUAGAUAAGUUAGAUGUGAAAUCCCCGGGCUUAAUCUGGGGACUGCGUUUAAGACUGUUUAGCUUGAGUACUGUAGAGGAUAGUGGAAUUUCCAGUGUAGCGGUGAAAUGCGUAGAUAUUGGAAGGAACACCAGUGGCGAAGGCGACUAUCUGGACAGAUACUGACACUGAGACACGAAAGCGUGGGGAGCAAACAGG
rnacentral:rRNA from 1 species